GACGAACGCUGGCGGCGUGCCUAAUACAUGCAAGUCGAACGCUUCUUUUUCCACCGGAGCUUGCUCCACCGGAAAAAGAGGAGUGGCGAACGGGUGAGUAACACGUGGGUGACCUGCCCAUCAGAAGGGGAUAACACUUGGAAACAGGUGCUAAUACCGUAUAACAAUCGAAACCGCAUGGUUUUGAUUUGAAAGGCGCUUUCGGGUGUCGCUGAUGGAUGGACCCGCGGUGCAUUAGCUAGUUGGUGAGGUAACGGCUCACCAAGGCGACGAUGCAUAGCCGACCUGAGAGGGUGAUCGGCCCCAUUGGGACUGAGACACGGCUCAAACUCGUACGGGCGGCAGCAGUAGGGAAUCUUCGGCAAUGGACGAAAGUCUGACCGAGCAACGCCGCGUGAGUGAAGAAGGUUUUCGGAUCGUAAAACUCUGUUGUUAGAGAAGAACAAGGAUGGGAGUAACUGUUCAUCCCUUGACGGUAUCUAACCAGAAAGCCACGGCUAACUACGUGCCAGCCGCCGCGGUAA
rnacentral:rRNA from 1 species